UACGAAGGGUGCAAGCGUUGUUCGGAUUUAUUGGGCGUAAAGCGCGCGUAGGCGGACCUGCAAGUCAGAUGUGAAAUCUCGGGGCUCAACCUCGAAACUGCGUCUGAAACUACAGGUCUAGAAUCUUGGAGGGGGAAGGGGAAUUUCUCAUGUAGGGGUAAAAUCCGUAGAUAUGCGAAGGAACACCAGAGGCGAAGGCGCCUUCCUGGACAAGUAUUGACGCUGAGGCGCGAAAGCGUGGGGAUCAAACAGG
rnacentral:rRNA from 1 species